rnacentral:lncRNA from 1 species
CUUCCUUCCUUCAGUUGUGAGCUGCAAGCUAGGCUGCAGGCCCAGGAAGAACAGCAUCAGGAAGUCCAGAAGGCAAAGGAAGCAGACAUAGAGAGGCUGAACCAGGCCUUGUGCUUGCGCUACAAGAAUGAAAAGGAGCUCCAGGAAGUGAUACAGCAGCAGAAUGAGAAGAUCCUAGAACAGAUAGACAAGAGUGGCGAGCUCAUAGUAUGUUCACCAUCAUGCCCAGGCCUUUGCCUUCUGUGUUACUGGUCAGCCAGGAUCCCAAGUAUGAGAAAUGGUUUACUUUUGUUCACCACAUGUUGUCUAUCCUUAUGUCCUAUUGGACACCUCUCCAUUCUCAUUCCCAGAGCCUUAGAGAGGAGGUGACCCACCUUACCCGCUCACUUCGGCGUGCGGAGACAGAGACCAAAGUGCUCCAGGAGGCCCUGGCAGGCCAGCUGGACUCCAACUGCCAGUCUAUGGCCACCAAUUGGAUCCAGGAGAAAGUGUGGCUCUCUCAGGAGGUGACUCAGAGUUAACAGAGGAGCUGGACAGCAGGUGGGGACCCCAGGCUGUACCCCUGUUGAUCUGGAC